UCCCUACCCACCCGUCGCCCCCAGGAACCCCCCAACCACCCCCCCGCGCCGCCCUCCUCUGACCUCCCGUGUCGCCGCUGCCGCCCCUGAACCGGCGCACGGCCGCCGCCCCUGGCCCCGUGCGCCGCGGCUGCCGAUCCGCCCGACACCCUGACCUCCCACCCUACACCCGCCAUCCCGCAAGUAUCCUGCGGGGAGGCGCCCCAACCCACCCCUCCGGCGCCAGCCCCGGCCACGUUCUGGCUCCGGUGAAGCGCGCCGCGGUACACCAGGAUCCCGCACCACAGCCAUCUCCCUCCCUCCCCUGGUUCGACCACGGUGGUGUUCUCCCCUUGUUUCAACCACUGCACUGCCCCGCCCCUGGGAUACAUCUGCCGCCGUCCCUGGAUCCGCCCGCUGCGAUGACCGCACUGCCACCCCACUGUCCUCCGGCACCACCAACGUUCCCCAGGCACAUUGGAUCCCCGCCACCGCGCCCACACCCGCACCGUGAGAUCCCCGCCCCGCCACGUGGCUGAGAUCCUCCAACCGCCGCCCAAGCCCGACGCCAUCAGCCUGCCACCGCGAAGCCGAGUGCCUCCCCUCCCUGAUACGGCGCAGUUCCCCAUUCUACCUUCUUCCCCAUCUGAAGGAGAUGAACUUCAUGUGCCCACGGCGUUAGCCGUCCCUUACCCGUUCAAGUACAUUGGGGCAAGCACAUAUCACCAGUAUCGCUGACCUUUGAUCGACCGUCUAUUACUUGCUCUCUUCGCAAAGGCGCUAUGGCUGCUGGUUCUCUUCAACAGUCUGUUCAACCAGGAGAAUGGGAGAGAGAGGAUGGGCAACGACAGCUGCUCCUGGGUUCUCGCAUGCAGACGCAGUUCUGCUGCUGUUGAUGCAUGCACUCUCUCUUGCUAGUGGUGCUGCCCCAUGCUAUUGUUCCCUGCUACUAAUAAUGGUGUUACUGUUGCUUCCAACCUUCCUCUCAAUAUUUUGCUACUUGUGCUGCUAGUACAAGCUGACGCUUUCUUUUUUACGUUCCUCUCUCUCAUUGAGUGCACAAGAAAAAUAUAUAUGAUUCUGAUUGGAUUUCUGUAGAAAUAUACCCCCUUUUAAUUAUGUUCUAAUCUCAUACACAGAAACAUCGGUGCAUGACUUUGUGUGGUUUU